UUGUCUCAAAGAUUAAGCCAUGCAUGUCUCAGUACAGACCGAAUUAAGGUGAAACCGCAAAUGGCUCAUUAUAUCAGUCAUGAUUUCUUAGAUCGUGCCACAUCCUUACUUGGAUAACUGUGGAAAAUCCAGAGCUAAUACAUGCAAACUAGAGUUCCGACUCAGGCUUCUGUCUGAGGAAGAAUGCAUUUGUUAGAAUAAAACCGACCGUACACUCGUGUACGCUCUCUGUUUUAUGGUGACUCUGAAUAACUUAGCCGAGCGCUGCGACCUUGAGUCGGCGCCGUAUCUUUCAAGUGUCUGCCUUAUCAGCUCUCGAUUGUAGGUUAUAUGCCUACAAUGGCUGUCACGGGUAACGGGGAAUCAGGGUUCGAUUCCGGAGAGGGAGCCUGAGAAACGGCUACCACAUCUAAGGAAGGCAGCAGGCACGCAAAUUACCCACUCCCAGCUCGGGGAGGUAGUGACGAAAAAUAACGAUGAGAGACUCUUCCGAGGCCUCUCAAUCGGAAUGAGUCCACUUUAAAUCCUUGGACGAGGACCCAUUGGAGGGCAAGUCUGGUGCCAGCAGCCGCGGUAAUUCCAGCUCCAAUAGCGUAUAUGUAAGUUGCUGCGGUUAAAAAGCUCGUAGUUGGAUUUGGGAUCCAACAUCGACAGCCCGCCGAUGGUGAGUACUCUAGUUUAGGCUAGUUUAAACGAGCCUGGCGGAUUACUGUCGAAAGUUGGUUUAUAUACAAACCGUCGACUCGCUAGGAGUGCCUUUAAUCAGGUGUUCCCACGCGGUUGACACGUUCACUUUGAAUAAAUUAGAGUGCUUAAAGCAGGCAAAUUUAACGCCUGGAUGGGUACGCAUGGAAUGAAGGAACAGGACCUCGGUUCUGCUCUUUUGGUCGGUUUUCGAACCGAGGUAAUGAUUAAAAGGAACAGACGGUGGCAUUAGUACUGUGGCGCUAGAGGUGAAAUUCUUGGAACGUCGCAUGACUAACUACUGCGAAAGCAUUUGCCAAGAAUGUUUUCGUUAAUCAAGAACGAAAGUUAGAGGAUCGAAGGCGAUCAGAUACCGCCCUAGUUCUAACCAUAAACUAUGCUAACUGGCGAUCCGUCGCUGUCAUUCCCACGACUCGACGGGAAGCUCCCGGGAAACCAAAGUUUUUGAGUUCCGGGGGAAGUAUGGUUGCAAAGCUGAAACUUAAAGGAAUUGACGGAAGGGCACCACCAGGAGUGGAGCCUGCGGCUUAAUUUGACUCAACACGGGAAAUCUCACCAGGCCCAGACGUCGUUAGGAUUGACAGAUUAAGAGCUCUUUCUCGAUUCGACGGGUGGUGGUGCAUGGCCGUUCUUAGUUGGUGGAGCGAUCUGUCUGGUUGAUUCCGAUAACGAACGAGACUCUACCCUACUAACUAGUUGGCAAAUCGUUACCCUGAGCGUGAGGCUCGGGCUUGUGAUGCUCGUGAAAGGUAUUCUUGGGUUGUGGUUGCUUCGGUAGCUAUGAUUCAGGGGUGGCCGCAUGUUGCUAGCAGGUCCAUGGUCUCUACUGGGGGUGUUUGUGUAAUUUUCUUCUUAGAGGGAUCCACGGCGUCCAGCCGCACGAGAAAGAGCAAUAACAGGUCUGUGAUGCCCUUAGAUGUUCUGGGCCGCACGCGCGCUACAAUGUAGGUCUCAGCGUGUUUUCCUCUCCGAAAGGAGCGGGUAACCCCUUGAAAUACCUACCCGAUUGGGAUUGGGGAUUGAAAAUGUUUCUCAUGAACGAGGAAUUCCCAGUAAGCGCGAGUCACUAACUCGCGUUGAUUACGUCCCUGCCCUUUGUACACACCGCCCGUCGCUACUACCGAUUGAAUGAUUCAGUGAGAGCAUUGGACUGUCACCUUCGGUUUUAUGCAAAUAGAAUCUUUGGCAGACGGAAAGAUGUCCAAACUUGAUCAUUUAGAGGAAGUAAAAGUCGUAACAAGGUUUC
rnacentral:rRNA from 1 species